UGGCAUCCGAUUCAACGGUAGUAGAUCCCGCCCGUAGCCAGCUAGCUCUGGGUUCGAGUGGCAUUUCACCCC
rnacentral:tRNA from 1 species